AGCGAACGCUGGCGGUAGGCCUAACACAUGCAAGUCGAACGGCAGCACAGUAAGAGCUUGCUCUUACGGGUGGCGAGUGGCGGACGGGUGAGGAAUACAUCGGAAUCUACUUUUUCGUGGGGGUUAACGUAGGGAAACUUACGCUAAUACCGCAUACGACCUACGGGUGAAAGCAGGGGAUCUUCGGACCUUGCGCGAUUGAAUGAGCCGAUGUCGGAUUAGCUAGUUGGCGGGGUAAAGGCCCACCAAGGCGACGAUCCGUAGCUGGUCGGAGAGGAUGAUCGGCCGCAUUAGAGGGUGGACAGCGUCCAGGGUCCUGCGGGACGCACCAGUGGGGAAUAUUAGACAACAGGGGCGAGCCUUGUCCAACCAGACCGCGUGGGAGGAGAAAGCCUUGGGGUUGUGAAGCCGUUUUGUUGGGAGAGAAAAGCAGCAGGUUAAUACGCCGCUGUACUGACGGUACCCGAAGAAUAAGCACCGGCUAACUUCGUG
rnacentral:rRNA from 1 species